GACGAACGCUGGCGGCGUGCUUAACACAUGCAAGUCGAACGAUGAAGCGGUGCUUGCACCGUGGAUUAGUGGCGAACGGGUGAGUAAUACGUGAGUGACCUACCUUUGACUCUGGGAUAAGCCUGGGAAACUGGGUCUAAUACCGGAUACGACCAAUCUCUGCAUGGGGUGCUUGGUGGAAAGCGUUAUGGAGUGGUUUAGAUGGGCUCACGGCCUAUCAGCUUGUUGGUGAGGUAAUGCUUACCAAGGCGACGACGGGUAGCCGGCCUGAGAGGGUGACCGGCCACACUGGGACUGGACACGGCCCAGACUCCUACGGGAGGCAGCAGUGGGGAAUAUUGCACAAUGGGCGCAAGCCUGAUGCAGCGACGCCGCGUGAGGGAUGACGGCCUUUCGGGUGUAAACCUCUGUUAGCAUCGAAGAGCGAAAGUGACGGUAGGUGCAGAGAAGCGCCGCUAACUAC
rnacentral:rRNA from 1 species